CGGCCGGUGUGUUAAAAUUGUGCGUGGCCCGACCCACUGAAUAUUCGUUUAUACGGACAUGCCUAUAAACAGAAAUAAAUACAUAUCUAUCUACCUGAUAGAUAUAAAUCUAUAUAUCUUUGUGGUAGGUAUGCAUGUCCAGACUGAUAGAUAUACAUUUAUCUAUCUAUCUAUCUGGAAGGUAUGCAUUUCUGGACCGAUAGAUAUGCAUCAAUUUCUGUUUAUAUUCAUGUCCGUAUAUUGAAUAGGAUCGGGCCUUGUACACUUCUAACAAACCGACAGUCUCUUUUAUUUUCUAUAUACACCCAGGUGAAAAAAUAAAAGUGAAAGGAAAGAAGUAGCGAUAACAGAUAAGAAAGACUGUGUUCUUCCGUUGUUAUGAGUCAUUGUUCUCAAUAAGAUAAGAUUAGAAUAUAAAUAAAAUGGAUUUGGUUUACUCGGUUGCAUGAAUUCUGUCGUGGUUCUUGCACAUUCAGAAUUGACUCGACGCUGACAGAGAGAUGCCAACGAGGGUGCCAAACCGGAGCUCAUUGAGGCUGUUCAAAGGCCAGAACUACAGGAAGCUGAAGGCAAAAUGUCUGUCUGUAGGAGAGCUUUUCCUUGACACUGAAUUCCCUGCCGAUGCGUCUUCUCUCGGUUUUGAAAAGGCAGUGGAAUGGAAAAGGCCAACAGAAUUGGUCGCAUCUCCGCAGUUUGUGAAGAGUAUGAGCAGAUUUUCAGUAAAACAGGGAGAGCUAGGCAACUGCUGGUUCUUAUCAGCCCUCUCCGCCAUCACCCAAAACCCAGGCCUGUUGUAUCGUGUUGUGCCUGGCGAUCAGGACUUCGCUGAUAACUAUGCGGGAAUCUUUCAUUUCAGGUUCUGGCAGGGAGGUCAGUGGGUGGACGUCGUUAUCGAUGACCGGCUGCCUGUCGUCUGCGGGGCAAUACUGUGCUUCACGAGUUCGAGAGACGACGAUGAGUUCUGGUCGGCGUUGCUCGAGAAGGCUUAUGCCAAGCUCCACGGCUCGUACGGCGCCUUGGACACCGGCAAGAGCUUCGAGGCGACGGAGGACCUGACGGGGGGCGUGACGGAGCGGUUUCUGCUGCGUCGCGAGGACCUCCUGACGCCGACGCCGACGAACCUCUUCUCCGUCGUCGCCAAAGCCAGGCAGCGGGGGUCGCUCGUCACCUGCAGCAUCUCGGAGACCCGAGAGACACCGAUGGAGGAUGGACUCGUCAAGGGCCACGCCUACAGUGUCACGGGGGCGCGGCGCUUCAGGGUCAAUGCUCCUCGAAGACCCUACGUGGAGCUCCUGCGUCUGAGGAAUCCCUGGGGGGACGAGACGGAGUGGAGAGGGAUGUGGAGUGACGGCUGCGAGGAGUGGAAUUUGAUCCCGAAAUCCGAAAGAGACAAACUCCAGCUUAGCAUCGAAGCGGACGGAGAGUUCUGGAUAUCAUUCAGUGAUUUCGCAGAGAACUUCGACGAGCUGUCCAUCACAAGCCUGAACCCCACCACCGUCAACGAGGAGGCCAAGGAGCAUCUCAUCACCAUGGCCGACGUAGUGACCGAGGCCGUCCUCCACUCCGAGGUCAUAAAGGCAGCCGAGGUCAAUGCCGUGAAGGUGUGGGAGGUCGUUGCCUUUGACGGCGCUUGGGUCCGCAACGCCACGGCAGGAGGCGGAAAUACGAGAGAUAGAGUGUUCUGCAGCAAUCCUCAAUACAUACUUGAGCUGACAGAAGCUGACGACAGCGCGGAGGAAGAAGGCACUUGCGCUGCCAUAGUGACCCUUAUGCAGAAGAACAGAAGGGCCAAUCAGCUACCCAUUCACCCCAUUGGGUUUUUUAUUUAUAAGCUCGGAGAAGGAGAGAAAAUUCCCAACCCACUCACCGUCUCUUGGCUGAGGCUGAACGUACCCUAUUUUUACACCAGGACCUUCUCAAAGACACGUACUGUGACCCACCGCCUCACCCUCAGCCCCGGCAGGUACCUGGUCAUUCCUUGCACGCCCACACCGGACCAAGAGGCAGAGUUCCUCCUUCGGGUUUUCUGUGAGAAGCUCGCUAAGAUGGAGGAGUAUGACGAGGAGGCCCAGAUUCUCGACAUUGCUGAAGAGUCUGAGGACGAGGUAGACCAUGCCAUCGAGGACCACCUGCGUGUCGUGUUCCGAGAGUCAGCUGGGGACGCCAACGAGGUCGAGGCUGUCAAGUUACAGUGCAUGCUAGACCAGCUCUUCCCUUUGACUUCACUCUCGAUCAUACACCUCUCCAGCUGCAGGUUUUGCUGACUCGCUGGACUUCACCCGGAGCCUCCUCGCCAUGAUAGACGUCGACUUCUCCGGGACUGUCAGUUUUUAUGAAUUCGAAGCCCUGGUCUCUUCCCUCAGGCGCUGGGUGAGAGUCUACAACGAGAGGAAGGACGAGGAGAACGAUCUCCUUUCGGGUCACUCGUGGGGCCUCGGCGACGCGCUCAGGGACCUCGGCCUCCAGAUCCCGCGCCGCAUCCGGGCCCUCGUGGUGGUGCGCUACGGCGA
rnacentral:misc_RNA from 1 species